AACGCUAGCUACAGGCUUAACACAUGCAAGUCGAGGGGAAACGACAUCGAAAGCUUGCUUUUGAUGGGCGUCGACCGGCGCACGGGUGAGUAACGCGUAUCCAACCUGCCCACCACUUGGGGAUAACCUUGCGAAAGUAAGACUAAUACCCAAUGACGUCUCUAGAAGACAUCUGAAGGAGAUUAAAGAUCUAUCGGUGAUGGAUGGGGAUGCGUCUGAUUAGCUUGUUGGCGGGGUAACGGCCCACCAAGGCGACGAUCAGUAGGGGUUCUGAGAGGAAGGUCCCCCACAUUGGAACUGAGACACGGUCCAAACUCCUACGGGAGGCAGCAGUGAGGAAUAUUGGUCAAUGGACGAGAGUCUGAACCAGCCAAGUAGCGUGCAGGAUGACGGCCCUAUGGGUUGUAAACUGCUUUUAUAAGGGAAUAAAGUGAGUCUCGUGAGACUUUUUGCAUGUACCUUAUGAAUAAGGACCGGCUAAUUCCGUGCCAGCAGCCGCGGUAAUACGGAAGGUCCGGGCGUUAUCCGGAUUUAUUGGGUUUAAAGGGAGCGUAGGCCGGAGAUUAAGCGUGUUGUGAAAUGUAGACGCUCAACGUCUGCACUGCAGCGCGAACUGGUUUCCUUGAGUACGCACAAAGUGGGCGGAAUUCGUGGUGUAGCGGUGAAAUGCUUAGAUAUCACGAAGAACUCCGAUUG
rnacentral:rRNA from 1 species